CCUACGGGGGGCAGCAGUGGGGGAUAUUGCACAAUGGGGGGAACCCUGAUGCAGCGACGCCGCGUGGGUGAAGGAGUGCUUCGGCUUGUAAAGCCCUAUCGGCAGGGAAGAAGCAAGACGGUACCUGACUAAGAAGCUUCGGCUAAAUACGUGCCAGCAGCCGCGGUAAUACGCAGGGGGCGAGCGUUGUCCGGAUUUACUGGGCGUAAAGGGAGCGUAGACGGUAGUGCAAGUCUGGAGUGAAAGGCGGGGGCUCAACCGGCGGACUGCACUGGAAACUGUACGGCUGGAGUGCAGGAGAGGAGAGUGGAAUUCCUAGUGUAGCGGUGAAAUGCGUAGAUAUUAGGAGGAACACCAGUGGCGAAGGCGGCUUUCUGGACUGUAACUGACGCUGAGGCUCGAAAGCGUGGGGAGCAAACAGGAUUAGAUACCCCUGUAGUC
rnacentral:rRNA from 1 species